GGUCAAGAAGAACAUCAUGUUGCUUAUUUUAACGAGAAGCUUAAUGAAGCUACCAACGAUAUUCCACGUAUGACAAGGAAUUCUAUGCGGUUGUCCAGGCUUUAGGCCAUUGGCGUCAUUAUCUUCUACCGCAAGAAUUCAUACUAUUCUCGGACCACCAGGCCCUGAAAUACUUGAGUGCCCAAAAGAAGUUAAAUCAGAGGCACACUAAGUGGGUCAAAUUCCUCCAAGAGUACACUUUUGUACUCAAACAUCGACCUGGUGUCGAGAAUACUGCUACAAAUGCAUUGAGUCGGAUAAACAUGAUCCUCAGCCAAACAAAUGUUAAGUAUCGGAUCAAUGUGCUACUCCAAACCAUGAGUGCAAAGGUUGUAGGAUUUGAGUGAGUCAAGGAUCAGUACCCCACUUGCCCUGAUUUUGGUGAGUUGUUCACUUCUUUGAGUGAAGACCCUCCUAUUAGCCGCUCAAAUUACCUACUGCAAGAUGGUUUCCUUUUUAAAGGAAGUAAGCUAUGCAUUCCCAAGACUUCACUCUGAGAUUUUCUAAUCUAGGGAAUUGCAUGUUGGGGGAGUUGCUAGUCAUUUUGGUCGAGAAAAGACUAUAAACCUUGUAGAAGACCGAUUUUACUGGUCAGGACUUAAGCAAGAUGUAGCUAGAAUUGUGAGUCAAUGCAAGACAUGUCAAAUUGCUAAGCAACAAAAGCAAAACACUGGGUUGUACACUCCCUUACCUAUACCACAUGCUCCAUGGCAAGACCAUAGCAUGGACUUCGUGCUUAGCCUACCUGGGACUUCGAGAGGACAUGACUCUGUUUUUGUAGUUGUAGACCGCUUCUCAAAGUUGGCACACUUCAUCUCCUAUUCCAAAACCUCUGAUGCGUUAACUGUUGCUAAACUUUCUUUAAUGAGGUUGUCAAGUACCAUGGGUUGCC